rnacentral:lncRNA from 1 species
CCCAUUCCCCCUUGUUUAAAUUAAUGCAUCCAAAGGCUCGCUAUGAUGGCCCCAAGGAGCUUUGCAUAGACCCAUCACAUUAUCUUGUUGGAAUGAGUGGGUAGCUGCAAAAGCCAUACUUUCAAGCUUUUACCUAUCAACUUAGGUCAUUAAUGGGUGUAGCCCCCCACGUGCCACGAAAUGACGUUAUUCACCCAACUUGAGAAAGUUGGAAGGCCAAGCAUGGCUCUCGAAGAUAUUUAAUAGGGGCAAAAAAUCUUUGAUGCCCACCCUG